rnacentral:rRNA from 1 species
GACGAACGCUGGCGGCGUGCUUAACACAUGCAAGUCGAACGGAAAGGCCCUGCUUGCAGGGUACUCGAGUGGCGAACGGGUGAGUAACACGUGGGUGAUCUGCCCUGCACUUCGGGAUAAGCCUGGGAAACUGGGUCUAAUACCGGAUAGGAGCCAUUUUUAGUGUGAUGGUUGGAAAGUUUUUUCGGUGUAGGAUGAGCUCGCGGCCUAUCAGCUUGUUGGUGGGGUAAUGGCCUACCAAGGCGGCGACGGGUAGCCGGCCUGAGAGGGUGGACGGCCACAUUGGGACUGAGAUACGGCCCAGACUCCUACGGGAGGGAGCAGUGGGGAAUAUUGCACAAUGGGCGCAAGCCUGAUGCAGCGACGCCGCGUGGGGGAUGACGGCCUUCGGGUUGUAAACGCCUUUCGCUAGGGACGAAGCUUUUUGUGACGGUACCUAGAUAAGAAGCACCGGCUAACUACGUG